UACUUUGCAAAUUGUGAAUAG
rnacentral:snRNA from 1 species